rnacentral:rRNA from 1 species
UACGUAGGGCGCAAGCGUUAUCCGGAAUUAUUGGGCGUAAAGAGCUCGUAGGUGGUUUGUCGCGUUGUUCGUGAAAUCUCACGGCUUAACUGUGAGCGUGCGGGCGAUACGGGGCAGACUGGAGUACUGCAGGGGGAGACUGGAAUUCCUGGUGUAGCGGUGGAAUGCGCAGAUAUCAGGAGGAACACCGGUGGCGAAGGGCGGGGUCUCUGGGGCAGUAACUGACGCUGAGGAGCGAAAGCGUGGGGGAGCGAACAGG